rnacentral:rRNA from 1 species
CAGUCGCCGCGGUAAUACAGAGGGUGCAAGCGUUAAUCGGAUUUACUGGGCGUAAAGGGCGCGUAGGUGGUUAUUUAAGUGAGAUGUGAAAGCCCCGGGCUUAACCUGGGAACUGCAUCUUAUACUGGGUAACUGGAGUGCAGUAGAGGGUAGUGGAAUUUCCGGUGUAGCGGUGAAAUGCGUAGAUAUCGGAAGGAACACCAGUGGCGAAGGCGGCUGCCUGGACUGAGACUGACACUGAGGCGCGAGAGCGUGGGGAGCAAACAGGAUUAGAUACCCCUGUAGUCCCUGUCUCUUAUAC